AGCCUGGUUUGCUCAGUUGGUUAGAGCAUGGUGCCGAUAACACCUAGGUUGCAGGAUCAAUCCCUGUAUGGGCCA